AGGUGGGGAUGACGUCAAGUCAUCAUGGCCCUUACGACCAGGGCUACACACGUGCUACAAUGGCGCAUACAAAGAGAAGCGACCUCGCGAGAGCAAGCGGACCUCAUAAAGUGCGUCGUAGUCCGGAAAAAAGCGACUAAAAGCGCGACUGGC
rnacentral:rRNA from 1 species